GAACUGAUCACUGUGACCUCAAAAACAUGUUUUUGGCCAUAACUCAAGAAUUCAUACGCUAAUCAUGACUAAAUUUCACACAAAUGUCUUAACAGGAUAAAAUGAUGAAGUGAUGACGUUUUAUAUCCAAAAGGUCAAAGGUCAGCUUGACUGUGACAUUACUCAGCGUCAUAUCUCAGGAACAGAAGGGGAGACAUUUGGUCAGAUACUGAAUUGGUGACCCUAAUCUUGAAACACUGCUGAUUGUAUAGAUCUUCUGUCUGUGAAGCAUCCAUGUUUUUUAGAAUAUAAAUAAUAAUAAUAUAAAUAAUCCUCUAAAAAUAAUGUUCACCCCAGCAACAGAAUUCAUGGGUUAAUAAGUUAAAAUAUAAGUUAAUGUAUUUAUUUUUUUCGGGUAGGACAUGAUUUGUCUCAGUUCUCAAGACUGGUUUACAUACCUUUUAACUGAAAUAAGGUUUUGAGUGCAGGACUUUAAGUUGUAGCAGAAUAUUUUCACCGUGUGGUUUUAGUACUUUAACUGAAGUAGAGUAUUUGAAUACUUCUUCCACCACUGACUCCUAACAUCAUAGUCUUCCUGUUCCUCCCAGUCUCCACUUGUCCAUGUUUCGUGUGUCAGUCAUGAACGUGAUCAGCACUAGGACCCAGAGCAGAGCAGCUGUCAGAGUCCGUGCAGUAAAUAUAGCAGCGGCAUGUCGAUCAGAGCAGUCGGGGGUCAUGAGGAGACCUGAACAGACCAGAUCAACCUGAAGCGUCCUCCGUCUGCAGGAGGGAACAGGAAACACUUUUCCUCUGAAAACCACAGAGAGUUUAUCUGAAGAGAGCCGGGGCCUGAACGUCAGCUGACGGCUGCAUGUGGCAGUUUCCUGUGAACAUCAGUGCCUGAGUAAGGAAGCCUGUGAGGGUCAGCUCCGCAGGAUGCUGCAGCUGUGUAAAGUCACCAGCGCUCUGUUCAUCAGUAACGCGCGCUCAGCCUGUAGCGACGAGCUCCUCCAGAAGGAGGCGGUGACGCUCUGCAUCAACGUGUCCAAGCAGCAGCCGUUUCCCUCUGCCGCCGCUAUCACCAAGCUUCAGAUCCCCGUGUACGACGACCCCAAUGAGGACCUGUAUGCUCACUUCGACCGCUGUGCUGACGCCAUCCAGAAAGAGGCGAACCGCGGAGGACGCAGCGUCGUCUACUGCAAGAAUGGACGCAGCCGCUCGGCCACUGUCUGCAUCGCCUACCUGAUGAAACACCGCAGAUUGACGCUGACCGACGCACUGCAGAAAGUGAAGACUGCUCGUCACGAGAUCGAUCCAAAUCCCGGCUUCCUGUCUCAGCUGCAGAGAUACGAGCAGGAGCUGAAGAAGAGACGAGGACAGACGGACUGACAGACAGACAGGUGGACGUCCGUCUGCUCCACCAGACGCCUUCACACUGACCUGAAAUCAGCCUGCAGACCACCUCGCCAGUAGGAGAGUGGACAGCGAAUCCAGAGACUGACCCCCAGUCAGCGGCUCCAGGAGACCGGACAGUCCCGACUCCACGCCGGAUCAGCAACCUUACUGUUGCUGCCGUUACACAGGUUAGACAGAAGUUCUCUCUCUGGAGCUGCUGCCCGCUCUCCUCCAGGGGAAGCAGUCUGCAGCGGUGAGGAGUGAGGGAGGGGGGGGGGCACUGGGAUGGCUAACGUUAGCUAACUCUUGUCUCAUUUGUGGUCUGAUGAAAUUAAAACACUUUCGGACACUACUCCGUCGCGUAGUUAAGUAUGUCAUUACUGUCGCACAAUUAAAACGAGCCAGAGCGAUGUCAUCUGGCGGGUUUUCGAAAUAAAUAAUAAAUUCAUUUGUGUGAUAAAUACAUAAUACUGACCAUAUUUUCCCACAUGAAUAAAUACAAAAAUAAAUACACUUUCAGUUCUUUUAAAUCAAGGCUGAACACCUUUUCUCCUUGCCGUUGCCUUUUAUUAAAUUAUAUUAGAGGCUUUUGAUUAAUUCCUUGUACACUACUUUUCGCGCUGCAUUGUGGGAUACUAUGAGUCCACUAUAUAGGGUAUAUUAAUUUACACUAAACAUUCGGACAGCACUACAAAAUGGCGAACACACUAUUUAGUGAGUAGGGAGUGAUUUCGGACACAGCCACUGUGUGAAGUGUGUACACAGGCCUGUGGUUGUCUGGUGGGAGGGGCUUAGGACAGAGAGGGGAGAGCAGUGCAUUUGUCUGUCUGCCCCAGCUUCAUUAACUGGAGUUAACGUUUUGAAUUGUGUUGCUCAGUGUUUGUUGUCAGCACAGUGAA